CGACCAAAAUCAGAAACCUCCCCCCUCCCCCCAUAUCAACACAGCUUCUCGCGGUAGGCGUAUUCUCCUCUAUCUCUCGUUGCAGGAUCCCUAUCUUGAGCAGAUCGAUCACGACCCGCCCUCCCUCCUGAACCUCAUGGCUGGCCCCGCCGAUUCCAGCAUUCAGGUGAGCGCACAAGAGGCGUGUCUUGUUCGGCAACAGUGUCGGAGAAAGUAGAUCAAUCCCCACCCAUGAUUAAACACAUGAAUUUUGGGGGCCCUUCAGAUAGGGGGAGUUGCUUCGGAUUCUUCUUCUAUAAGAUUUAGCCGAACAUAACAGGUGGCUUAGAUCUGGUAACUGUUGGAGUGUCAGGUGUGGACGCUUGCAGUAUUUUAAUAUAGUUCUGCACCAUUGCUUCCUUGCAGAUAUGUCACAGAUAAGAAUUAGCGUUCUUGAAUCCAACAAAGAAUAUAUGAUGGAAGAACCGACCGAACAUCAAUUCUGCUGAAAAAGAUGUCGAAUCAUUUGAUGUCAAUGAAAGAACUACUAAUGAUGAAGAAGGCUUCACAGAUUGUGAUGAUGUUGACCUGGAUGAAAAUGAAGAUGCUGAAAUGCAUAAACAAAAGAGCGUUAGAAGAGGAAGCUGAAAUAUAUUUGGAACCUUCCAAAAGGGAAAAGGAUAAUGGUUCACUAUAAUGACCUAGAUCAGCCAAUUGGAAAAGAGGUCAACAUCUUCGGGACUUUCUUGGCCCGGUUGCAAGGAAUGGAUCAUUGUGUUGCUUCAGCUACAAGGAUCAGAGAUUUCUCAAAACUGAAAUAAACCUAAAAGCAAUAAUAGAUCAAGUAAAGAUUCAAAAGAUAAAUUGAUGAGUAUAUGGGUCUAUGGCAAGUAUACUGGAUGGUGUCGAUGUCAUGUUUCAUGAUGAUGAUGGAUGCUUUUAGUUUUAGUUAUGUUGUACGGAUGACGUUCCUGCUAAAUGUUGUUCCCAGGUUAAGUUUUAGUUAUGUUGUACAGAUGAUGUUCUUGCUGGAUGGUGUUCCUUAAGUUUUAGGUAAGUUGUAGGGAUGUUGAUGGAUUCUUUCAUUUUAAGUUUCACUCUGAGAUUAUGCAUCACAUUUGGAUGAUGUUACUAUCCACUAUUGUAAUCCAACAGCUUUAUCUAAUAUACGAUUUAUUCCUCU